GUUUCAAUCCCUCACAGGUUCGAUUCAAAC
rfam:Bacterium JGI-4 isolate JGI-4 genome assembly, contig: JGI4_Kryptonium_JGI_4_Dewar_Creek_draft_1000051.7